AUAAAGACUAUGAAGAGAAGAGUAGAUAUAGGAGGUAGCUUUAGCGAGUCGGUGAUGGUGUGAGACCGAUGCGAACCCUAUAUUGAAGAACAGCUCGGAGUUUCUAAUCGAAAUCGGAAUGUAUUCGAGAGUAGGCUUAGACGGAACCAAACCGUUAGCAAUGGAUGGCAUAGAACCUUUGUCAGUUUAAGGUGGUCGCAAAAUAUAGUUGCGGCAAUAAGGGUGGUACCGCGAAACAUGAGUCUUUCGUCCCUAUU
rnacentral:ncRNA from 1 species